rnacentral:rRNA from 1 species
UGCCAGCAGCCGCGGUAAAACCAGCACCUCAAGUGGUCAGGAUGAUUAUUGGGCCUAAAGCAUCCGUAGCCGGCGCUAUAAGUUUUCGAUUAAAUCUGUACGCUCAACGUACAAGCUGCCGGGAAUACUGCAGAGCUAGAAAAUGAAAAAGAUAGACAGUACUCGGUAGGAAGGGGUAAAAUCCUUUGAUCUAUUGAUGACCACCUGUGGCGAAGGCGGUCUACCAGAACACGUCCGACAGUGAGGGAUGAAAGCUAAAGGAGCAAACCGGAUUAGAUA